rnacentral:lncRNA from 1 species
GCGCGGAGGUGGCACAGCCCGCGGCGCUUUCUUUCGACCUGCGCACAACGCGGGACGCAGAGGCGCGCGCGGGGUGCGUGGAGGCCGCAGGUUGGAUUCCCUACCAGUAAAAUGAGGUAAUGAUGUGAAAUUGGUCACGUUGUUGAAGAGUUGAAAUGAGAGAUUGGGCAUCAGUAUCCAGCUUAGGUUCCGGCCUGUAAGUUUCCCAUCUUCUUUCUUGAACCAGCUUAUCUGUUAAUUUUAUCUUCAUGCUCUUUAGCUCUAAACCAGUUUUUCUAGAGAGAAACAUAUCCUACAAAGUAGCUUUGUGCAGAUAACUGGUGCAAGGCGUUGCCUAGAGAACAGGGUGGGGACAUUGAGUACUCAAGAUGGUUGGACAUUGAAAGAUUUAUAUUUAAUGAUAGCAUGGUGGCAUACGGAGGGGCCAAAGGGCCUCAGAGGGUCUAUGGAGCCAAAGCCUGCCCUGUUCUUCCAUUUUUAGCCAAUAUUUGAAUGCCUGCUAUGUGUUGGAUGCUGUGCAAACCCUGGAGAUACAAAGAUGGCAAACAGAAGUUAGCUAUGCUAUCCCUGGUCCCUGGCGCCAUAGUAAUUAGUUAUGUGAUGUCUUCAUACCGACUCCUUCCAAGUGAUAUGCACUACAGGGAAUGGUAGUGUGGCUGGACUCUGAAAGAGUGUUGGGAAGUAUAAAUGCUGUCUGUCCUGGGAAAGAGAUGCAGGUGGUGACAGCACAGGAUUUGAUAGUCCUAUGCUGCAGUCUUUCAGCAUGGGGGUCUGACCCACUGGGAUAUCACGAAGUCAGCUUUGUGGGUCUGAUUUAGGGUGAAUGUUAUUUAAGAAAUGAAAGAAGGGAGGGUAGGAAAAUGUUAAAGUGAGUUGCUCACAGUGACCUCUUGCUUUGCAAAACAUCGUUUUAGUCUUGAACACAUUUGGUACACGUCAC